CUGCUUCAUGUGAAGCUUGCUAUGGUGAGAUUGUGACAAUGAUAUCACUCAUUAGCACUAAAGCUAGGGAGGCAAUUCAAAUCAAGAGAUCCAACACAUGUAGCCCUCAUUUCUAGCUUGGACUACCACUUCUCUUUAGCCUUUUCUUCCAAUUCAGUUGAGUAGCCUCAGCAGCAUCUGUAAAUUUUGCCUGGUAGCCUCAAGAAGACUCUGAAAUUAAAUAUAGCAUGGCUUUGUGCCAUGGAUGAUCCAUAUAUCAAUUCCGGGAGUUUUUAAUGCUUGCUGUUGUGGCUUCUUCUCGCUCUGGUUUCUAUUACAUACUGCUUGUAGAAGUAGAUACAACACCCAUAGUAGCUGGAGGAGUUAGAAGGAUGGAUCUGAAUCACUCAACUUUGACUAUAUACAUUAAUUGCUGGACGAGAUCAGAGCCUCGGCUUUCAGCAGUUGAUGGGCUAUAUAUCUUCACUGCCCAACUCACUUUCAAUAUGGAGUGCUUGGGGUGGGGGUAUAUGUUGAUUUUCUGGUUGUUGCUGGGGCUUAUCGAGAUGGCUCUUUGAGGCAGGAAAGUUAUGCAAAUUCUCAUCGACAGCUAGCAUUUCCUGAAGGUCGUUUUCACUGGUUCGGUCAAAACUCAGCCUACAUCCGCUCUUCUCCGGAUUGCACUAAACCCCUUAGUGCAGAUGAGCAAUUGUGCCUAGAUCACAAAGCUAAGCAAGACCAUAUUCCUCGAGGUUUUUCACAAGCAACACUUGUUACUCCGCCCCUUUCUACUAAUAAUUCUAAUAGAGAAAAGAUUGUUUGAACACAAGAUUGUUCAUAAUCUCCAAUUAUAAGACUCGGCGUAGGACUUCUAGUUGAAUGUUGUAGUCUUUUGAGCUUGAUCUUGUAAGGUAGCGUUAGCUCUCUCUUCACUGGUCUAACUUGAUGAGUCAAUCCACCUACACGUCUUGCUUUUACUGUUAUAUUGGGAGUAACUCCACGUAUUGCUUGACGUAAAACGGAUAGUGGAUUUGUUUCUGUUUUUUGUUGAAUCUUUUUCACGGCUCGAUAGAUAAUUUGAUAAGCCAAUGAUUUUUUUCCGUGUUUCAGAAUACGGUUAACCAACAUGUACCUGUAGUAGCAUUCAAGUAAUGUCCUUUGAUUUCACCUGUUUCAGCCUGUGCUUUAUAAAGUGCUUCGGCACAAAAUAAGAAACGGUCUCUCCAA